GCUUUUUCACCGAGUGCGGCUGGGAUUAUUUGUAUAUUUACGAUGGUGAUAGUGUUUAUGGAAAGCAGCUUGCCGCACUAUGGUUGGUUUUGAAAUUUUAAAAUUUUAUGUGAAAAUGAAAUAUUUCAGCGGAGAACAACCAUCACAAGAGUUCACUGCGGCUUCUGGUAAAGCACUGGUGCACUUUUUCAGUGACUUAGCCAUUAAUUUAAACGG
rnacentral:sRNA from 1 species